rnacentral:rRNA from 1 species
CCGGCACGGGUGAGUAACACGUAUCCAACCUGCCGUCUACUCUUGGACAGCCUUCUGAAAGGAAGAUUAAUACAAGAUGGCAUCAUGAGUCCACAUGUUCACAUGAUUAAAGGUAUUCCGGUGGACGAUGGGGAUGCGUUCCAUUAGAUAGUAGGCGGGGUAACGGCCCACCUAGUCUUCGAUGGAUAGGGGUUCUGAGAGGAAGGUCCCCCACAUUGGAACUGAGACACGGUCCAA